UCCUCAGUGAGUAUCGUGGGCCACAGAGUCCUAUUUGGGGAGAGGCAUUUGUGAAGCAGGAAAAGAGCACACGAGACUUGGAGCUGGAAGGCCUGGCUCCUGUACAGGCCACUACCCGUUGCUGUUUAACCUCUCUGAGCUCUGGUUACCUCAUCUAUAAAACUGGAAAAGAAAUAACAGCUGCUUGACUGAAUUACAUAUGGAAGGAGGGUCACUGUCACCUGGCCUCACCAAAAAUAGAAUGAGCUCUGCGUGGGAAGGGAAGAAGGAGGAGGUGCUGUGGCCAUAACCAUGAGAUGAAGAUGCCACAGUGCUGAGAUCCAGUUAUCCAAGGCCACAGGAUUAAUAUGAAGCAGUUUCAAACUCAGAAGGCCCACUUUUAACCACCAUGUUAUACUGAUGUAGCACAUG